rnacentral:piRNA from 1 species
GAGUAUCUUCUAGGGCCUUCUC